rnacentral:lncRNA from 1 species
UCCUAUAGGGACAAUUUUAUAUAUAAACUUGGUAUUUUUUUUAAUCUUGAGACUUGAUUGAGUAAUUAGUGACAACCAGAAGCCUAACACUUUUAUAAGGCAAAUUCUUUCUAUCUCAAUAUUAAAUUUGAAUCUAGAUCACUUCUUACAUAACUGCUUUUGUGGCCAACUAUGCAACAAUCAAAGGAUACUAAUUUAUUCUCAAUUAUAUCUAAAUUAUA